rnacentral:rRNA from 1 species
GAUGAACGCUGGCGGCGUGCUUAACACAUGCAAGUCGAACGAGGUCCAACCUUCGGGUGAAGACCGAGUGGCGAACGGGUGAGUAACACGUGGGGAACCUGCCCUUCUCUCUGGGAUAACCUCGGGAAACCGAAGCUAAUACCGGAUACUCCUUGCGGACCGCAUGGUCCGCUCGGGAAAGCUCCGGCGGAGAAGGAUGGCCCCGCGGCCCAUUAGCUUGUUGGUGGGGUAACGGCCCACCAAGGCGACGAUGGGUAGCCGAGCUGAGAGGCUGAUCGGCCACACUGGGACUGAGACACGGCCCAGACUCCUACGGGAGGCAGCAGUGGGGAAUCUUGCGCAAUGGGCGAAAGCCUGACGCAGCAACGCCGCGUGCGGGAUGAAGGCUCUCGGGUCGUAAACCGCUUUCAGCAGGGAUGAAAAUGACAGUACCUGCAGAAGAAGCCCCGGCUAAAUACGUGCCAGCAGCCGCGGUAAUACGUAUGGGGCAAGCGUUAUCCGGAUUCAUUGGGCGUAAAGCGCGCGUAGGCGGCUUGUUAAGUCAGGCGUGAAAUCCGGGGGCUCAACCCGCGGCUUGCGUCUGAAACUGGCAGGCUUGAGUCUGGUAGAGGAAAGUGGAAUUCCUGGCGUAGCGGUGAAAUGCGCAGAUAUCAGGAGGAACACCAGUGGCGAAGGCGGCUUUCUGGGCCACGACUGACGCUGAGGCGCGAAAGCUAGGGGAGCGAACA